AGCGGUAAGGCCUCCUUCGGGGGGUACACGAGCGGCGAACGGGUGAGUAACACGUGAGUAAUCUGCCCAUGGCUCUGGGAUAAGCACUCGAAAGGGUGUCUAAUACCGGAUAUGACCACUCCAUGCAUGUGGUGGUGGUGGAAAGUUUUUUCGGCUAUGGAUGUGCUCGCGGCCUAUCAGCUUGUUGGUGGGGUAAUGGCCUACCAAGGCUUUGACGGGUAGCCGGCCUGAGAGGGUGACCGGUCACACUGGGACUGAGACACGGCCCAGACUCCUACGGGAGGCAGCAGUGGGGAAUAUUGGACAAUGGGCGGAAGCCUGAUCCAGCAACGCCGCGUGAGGGAUGACGGCCUUCGGGUUGUAAACCUCUUUCAGUACCGACGAAGCGGAAGUGACGGUAGGUACAGAAGAAGCACCGGCCAACUACGUGCCAGCAGCCGCGGUAAUACGUAGGGUGCGAGCGUUGUCCGGAAUUAUUGGGCGUAAAGGGCUCGUAGGCGGUUUGUCGCGUCGGGAGUGAAAACAUCACAGCUUAACUGGAUGCUUGCUUUCGAUACGGGCAGACUAGAGGCAUGCAGGGGAGAAUGGAAUUCCUGGUGUAGCGGUGAAAUGCGCAGAUAUCAGGAGGAACACCGGUGGCGAAGGCGGUUCUCUGGGCAUGUCCUGACGCUGAGGAGCGAAAGUGUGGGGAGCGAACAGGAUUAGAUACCCUGGUAGUCCACACCGUAAACGUUGGGCGCUAGGUGUGGGAUCCUUUCCACGGGUUCCGUGCCGUAGCUAACGCAUUAAGCGCCCCGCC
rnacentral:rRNA from 1 species